rnacentral:rRNA from 5 species
UCUGGUGAUGAUGGCGAAGAGGUCACACCCGUUCCCAUACCGAACACGGAAGUUAAGCUCUUCAGCGCCGAUGGUAGUCGGGGGGUUCCCCCUGUGAGAGUAGGACAUCGCCAGGC